AAUUAUUUCAAUUUUCUAUCGCUAUACUAUUAUACUAUAAUUAAAAUUAUUUUUUCUUUAUUAAAUACUAAAACAAAUCUUUUUAUAAUUAUUUUUAAUAUUUUAAAUUUUAAACAUAAUAAAUUAAUAAAUAAAAUAUAAUCAAUUUAUAUUGAUUUGCACAAAAAUCUUUCCAAUGUAAAUGAAAUACUUUACUUUAUAAGCUUUAAAUUGCAUUCUAGAUGCACUUUCCAGUACAUCUACUAUGUUACGACUUAUCUUAUCUUAAUAAUAAGAGUGACGGGCGAUGUGUACAUAUUUUAGAGCUAAAAUCAAAUUAUUAAUCUUUAUAAUUUUACUAUCAAAUCCACUUUCAAUAAACAUUUCAAAUUUAUAUUCAUAUAAAUAAUUUUAUUGUAACCCAUAUCUACUUAAAUAUAAGCUACACCUUGAUUUGAUAUAUUUUCUAUUUUAAAAUCAUGAAAAUUAACCUUCUUAUAAAAUAUUCUAAUAACAACGGUAUAUAAACUGAUAACAAAUUUAAGUGAGGUCCAUCGGGGAUUAUCGAUUACAGAACAGGUUCCUCUGAAUAGACUAAAAUACCGCCAAAAUUUUUAAGUUUCAAGAACAUAACUA
rnacentral:rRNA from 1 species